GACGAACGCUGGCGGCGUGCUUAACACAUGCAAGUCGAACGGAAAGGCCCUGCUUUUGUGGGGUGCUCGAGUGGCGAACGGGUGAGUAACACGUGAGUAACCUGCCCUUGACUUUGGGAUAACUUCAGGAAACUGGGGCUAAUACCGGAUAGGAGCUCCGGCGGCAGGGUGGGGGUGGGAAAGUUUCGGCGGUUGGGGAUGGACUCGCGGCUUAUCAGCUUGUUGGUGGGGUAGUGGCUUACCAAGGCUUUGACGGGUAGCCGGCCUGAGAGGGUGACCGGCCACAUUGGGACUGAGAUACGGCCCAGACUCCUACGGGAGGCAGCAGUGGGGAAUAUUGCACAAUGGGCGGAAGCCUGAUGCAGCAACGCCGCGUGCGGGAUGACGGCCUUCGGGUUGUAAACCGCUUUCGCCUGUGACGAAGCGUGAGUGACGGUAAUGGGUAAAGAAGCACCGGCUAACUACGUG
rnacentral:rRNA from 1 species